rnacentral:miRNA from 1 species
AGCUAAUGAUGAGAGAAU